rnacentral:rRNA from 1 species
AUACGUAGGGGGCAAGCGUUAUCCGGAAUUACUGGGCGUAAAGGGUGCGUAGGCGGUUUUGUAAGCGCGGGGUGAAAGGCAGAGGCUCAACUUCUGUUAGCCCCGUGAACUGCAUUACUUGAGUACGGGAGAGGAAAGUGGAAUUCCUAGUGUAGCGGUGAAAUGCGUAGAUAUUAGGAGGAACACCAGUGGCGAAGGCGACUUUCUGGACCGCAACUGACGCUGAGGCACGAAAGUGUGGGGAGCAAACAGGAUUAGAUACCCUGGUAGUCCACACCGUAAACGAUGGAUACUAGGUGUGCGGGGACUGACCCCCUGCGUGCCGGAGUUAACACAUUAAGUAUCCCACCUGGGGAGUACGAUCGCAAGAUUGAAACUCAAAUGAAUUGGCGGGG